rnacentral:rRNA from 1 species
AGAAUGAACGCUGGCGGCGUGCUUAACACAUGCAAGUCGUGCGCGAAAAAGACUUCGGUCUUGAGUAGAGCGGCGAACGGGUGAGUAACACGUGGAUAACCUGCCUGUGAAUGGGGGAUAACCUGGGGAAACUCGGGCUAACACCGCAUACGUUCGUAGAGUGAUGCUUUACGAGGAAAAGUGGCCUCUGCUUGCAAGCUACUGUUCACAGAGGGGUCCGCGCCUGAUUAGCUAGUUGGCGGGUAAUGGCCCACCAAGGCGACGAUCAGUAGCCGGCCUGAGAGGGCAGUCGGACCACGACCUGGAACUGAGACACGGUCCAGACUCCACGGGAGGCAGCAGUGGGAAUAGUGGACAAGUGGGCGCAAGGCCUAGAUCCCGAGCAACGCCGCGUGGAGACGAAGGUCUUCGGAUU